UACGGAGGAUGCAAGCGUUAUCCAGAAUGAUUGGGCGUAAAGCGUCCGCAGGUGGCUAUGUAAGUCUGCUGUUAAAGAGUGAGGCUCAACCUCAUAAAAGCAGUGGAAACUACAUGGCUAGAGUGCGUUCGGGGCAGAGGGAAUUCCUGGUGUAGCGGUGAAAUGCGUAGAGAUCAGGAAGAACACCGGUGGCGAAAGCGCUCUGCUAGGCCGCAACUGACACUGAGGGACGAAAGCUAGGGGAGCGAAUGGG
rnacentral:rRNA from 1 species